CCGCCGUCAGAUCACGCACCUGACUGUCUGCUGAAACGCUGCUAUCCGAUUUUUAUUUCUAUGUUCCAUCUCUGCAGCUCUCCAUCGUCUUGUCGAUUAUAGAACGUUUUACCUUCUAUCGUUGAUGAUUGCUAUUUUUAUCGCCGGCUCUCCGUAUGUUUACACCCAAGCGCCAAAGAAGAGGAACAAAUAAAUAGCAAUUAUAAGUUGGAGAUUCUUCUGGAAGAUCAAAUUAAACUCACCGGAUAAUCAAGGAAAGAAGGUAAAUUGUCAUUGAUAUAUCUGAUUAUAUAAUCAUAAGUCAUUUUUGGCAUUCAGAUUGGUAAAGUCUAGACCUGUAGACCUAAUCCAAAAUUCUUUUUGUUGGCUUAAAUAUGUAUAUGGCAGUUUCAGCCGUCCAAGCAGGCUGUAACCAGCAACAAGGAGAAGGAGAAAAUGAUAGAUUUACCAGCUAAAGGGACCGAUAUGCGGGAGUUGCCAUUGAGAUACCAUAGUAAGGGGGUUACUAUUGCCUCCCCACCAAGACCCACACCUCAAGUCCAUGAAAAUGCCAUGAUUUCCAAAUCUAAAGAUCAAUCAUCUACGGAUGUGAGGACAGUAAUCAAAAAACGAAAGAGGAGAAAUAAGCAGCAAAAUAUUGUUGUACUUGAACCUUCUUCUUGGAACAGGAUCUGUCCACAAGAUGUGGUUGACGCUGGAAUGCAUCUGAAUCCAGCAAAAAAGAAGCAUUCUGCUUGGUUCAGUUUAACUCCUUCCUGUGAUCAGUGAGCUAUAAAGAUCCCUUUUAAAUUUAAUCAUAUAGCUAAUAGUAUCUUCACCAUCUUAUCUUUUUUAUUUUCUUGUCUUUGAUUCCGUAGGAACAGAAAGAACACUCUGCAACUUCUAGUGGAACCAUACUUACAGAUAAUGUAAGUACAUCGGCCUUUUCAGUAUAAUGUUGUUUAAUGUUCAUAUAAUUCACCAGUUCAUUAGUUAAUAAAUUUUUGACAUUGGUCAUUGUAACUUGCAUGUACUGAUUAAAAACAAAUUAUUCUAGCAUGGAGGGGAACUGUAAUCCAGAUGUGUCUAUUCUCAUGAAGUAUAUCGCAUUGCAACUUAAGCAUGUUCGCCAACAGGAGGUAUCUUUUCUGAUUCAAUUAAUUGCAUAUAAGUUCGGUUCCGUUCAUCAAAGAAGUAUCGUUCUUUUCUCAUGAUCUCCACCGAGUGGAUUUUAGUUAUACGUUUUUAAACAUAUAUAAUUUAGUAAAUGUAAACUCCUUUUGAAGUGCCGAGGGGACAAAGUGCCUUGAAAUAUGCAGCUUUCAAUGUAUCAUGCACAAAUUGCUAUAAUGAACAAUAUUUCAUAGGCAAAGGAAAUUGUCCCCAUGUAAAUCUAAUAACUAAAAAACAUGAAACUGUUAGAGAGUUUGUUUUGCAUUUUUUAUGUGUUCUUGCAUAAACAUUGAACCAUGCGAUUCUUAACUACAUACAAUAACUUGAUUUUUGUAUGCCUAAAAAACAUCAGUUUUCGUUAGAGUUCAGUUGUCCGUUAAUUGUUCUUUUUCCAUGAAGAUUCAGCAAAUAUAGACUUUACUAAUAGAACAAGGACAUCACAGUCUCAUAGACAUGUAUUUGUUCUUCUUUUUCCUGUUUUUGUAUCACAAAAAUACUUUCUGUAAUGACUUGUAUUUUAAUAAUCUGAACAGGUUGGUAUCUUCUUGAAUGGAAAACUUCUUGCCCCGGAAAUGAAGCUACUUGAUGUGGUGAAACAGUGGAUGGCUAUUGUUGAUUCAGAGAGGAAAAUAACCAAGAUUGGAAGUUCUGCUGAGAACUUCUGUGUGAAGCUGACUUAUGCUUGAAGAGAAUAGACAAAAGUAUGCAUUUAUAAUAAAAUCCAACAAAGCUUUGUUCCUUAAUUGUGCCAUUUAACCGAUUGACUUUUACAAUUUCUUGGUUAAUGCUGAUCGAAUGAAUUAAUUAGUUGGUUCCAUAGUGAUUAUUAGACUUUUAAAACUAAUAAUGGUUACAUUGUUUUUGAGUAACCAACUAGCAAUGAUCUUUGAAAAUAACUUACAUCGGAGUUAGGGCUCAUUGACAAGUUCUAAAUUUUUAAGAUUUGAAUUUAUAAAAGGUCUGAAUUUCUAAGAGUCUAAAUUUUGAAGAUCUGAAUUUUAAAAUGUUGUUUAGUUGAAACAUCUUAAUUGUUGUGCAGAAUGAUAAAAAUGAUCAUUUCCUUAUUUUUUAUGUAUUAUUUUUUAUAAAAUAACUGACUAAACUUAUUAAAUAACUAUAUCAAAGAUAUAAACACAAUAAAAAAAUCAAAACUAAACAUACAAUAACUUAUUCAUAACAUAUCAUAAUCAUAAACUUCUCUCCUAAGCAUUUGCUAGUAAAUUCCACAGCUAGAAAGGACAAAGUCAGAUAAAUACAAACACAGUUUAAUUUCAAUUGCAAUUUGGUUGUAACGAGCCAAAAAUAUCGCUAAAAUUUCAUUUUUAAAACACCCAAAAAGAUACAACCAAAUGUUCCAAAACCAACCACAAUAUAAAUAUCGUCAACAUCAGAGUAAAUUCAAAUAACAAUGAGGAAUAAAAAUCAAGGGGAUGUUGUGCGAUCACGAUAGACCUUUCCCUUUGGAACCAGAGGAACCUGAAAUGUUUUGACCACACAACUGUAAGCACAAAGUUUAGGUAGUCUAUCAAAAUACCACAUACCAUACGUAACCUCGAAUCCUGCCCACAUAUUUGGCCCCACCAAUCAUAACGAGCCCCGCAUAGCAUACAUACGGGUCGUACCCAACAUACAAAUGAGCCCGUCCAACAUACAUGCAAGAGUCACAAAGACAGCUAGCAUCUUACACAGUAUAGUGAGAAGACUCACCUCUCUCACAAAGUCAUACAAAUCCCAGCUUAACCUCACGAAAUAGGUGUUACAACCCACUUAUCGAAUCACACAAGGUCACACCUUAGUCUACACUUUAGAACUAGCAAUUUGACCAUAAGUCAACAGGGUCAAAAAGUCAACGAUCAAUGUUCUUAGACAAUAUAUACCUUCUAUAUUUUUGUAUUUGAUUUUAUCCUUUCAAUGUAUAUCCUUUCCUUAUUUACAGGAAUGGUUCUCUAUUCGUAAUUGAUUUUGUAUAAUGAGAAGAAUCAAUAGAGAAUACCAUUCUUUAUGGUAUCAGAGCCUUGCCCUAGCCCUAGCCAUCGCUGCCCUCUUCUUCUCCAACAUCCGUCUCAUAAAACAUUGUAGCACCAGGCGAAUCUUCUGAUUCUUGCAUGAAACUAACCACCCGACAUUCACUGUCACUAACAUUAAGAAUGGCGUCCCUCUCAUUCUGAAUCAAACCGACGAUCAAUAUGCUUCGUGGGUACUGUUUCACAUCCACACAUGUGCUUACAAUCUUCUUGAUCACAUUGAUCCGAACACUCCGCGGCCAGCAUGCAUAAACGAAGAAACAUGGAAUCGUCUUGAUGCUAUUGUAAAAUCAUGGAUUUACAACACCAUAUCCAUUAAGUUACUCCAAUCGAUCAUGAAACUCAAUGCAGCUGCUCGUCUGCUUUGGACCCGUCUUUAGGAAAUUUACCAAGACAACAAAACUACCAGGGUUGUUUAUCUCAAAGAACAGUUCAAUAAAAUUCGCCUCUCUGAGUUCUCCAACAUGUCGGAUUAUUGUGCUCGUCUCAAUAAUCUUUCAGAUCAGCUUCCCAAUCGUUGUAUGAGUAGCUUAGAUUUCCCAUCUCAAAAAAAUAUGUGAAGUGAUUGACCAAACGUAUUCGACAAUGAAAUUCAAUAUCUUUAGGCCAAAUUACAAUUGUUGCUUAAAGUUAUUUGUGGUUGAAUUUAUUUCUAUGAUAGGCUUGUACAAUUUUGACAAUCCUUAUAAAAAAAUGAUCUCUUGCACCAUUUGCUUUAUUGAUUACCUUGAUAAGUCGAAGUGGGAAAUACAUAUCUUAUACGAAGCUUCAUUCUGUUUCAAGGCCUAUAACAUCGUUGUGAUGGAUCGAUACUUAUCACAUAACUCUUGAAUAAAUGCACUCUAGAAUUCAUCAAUUAGCACCACCACUAAGUCAUUAAUUUCCUCCAACUCAAAACUUGUGCGUGUAUUGUUUAGACAAGUUUACAAUAAACUAGGUGGAUAUCUACAUGUUGCAUAUAAUAAAAGUAUGUAGUUACACUUUUGGUAAAUAUAUGCUACUGGAAAUAAUUAUGUUAUUGACACUAACAGUAAAUUGAUAAUUCUUAUACAAAAUUGAUACAUUAAAUUAUAACUAAUUUGAACGAUAAACAUCUAUUAGAAUCAUAUUAGUUACUCGCCUGAGGCCGCAACUUGCCUAUGAAUAAGUUACUUAUAUUUCUCAAUUUACUCUUAGUUUUAUCACUUAAGACAAAAAGUUAUUUGUCAUUUUGUUUAAUUCGAUUAUGAUGACCGCUUAGAAUAUUAAUUAUUAUUUGUAAGAUAAUAUAAUUUUAUCUAUAACUUUUUUUAUCCUUACCUAUUAUUAAUGGUCAUUUAUCUACAAUACUUAUCUGGAGAAUUUUUAAUUAAAAUAGUAAUACUUUUUUUUGAUAUUUUUAGUUAAUUUGACAUUUCAAUUUAGGUUUUUUAUAUGGGUUAAUGACCUAGAAAGGUAACGAACUUUGGUCUUUGUCCACAUUUAGGUAAUUGUGUUUUUUUUUUUCGUUCACAUUUGACUAUUGAACUUGUUUGGCUUGUUUAAAAUAGGGUAAUAUGAUCAAUAAUUAGGCCUGUUAAUCGGGUUACCCGAUCGGGUUUCGGGUUAAAUGGGUCGGGUUAGUCGGGUUUUUUUAGAAAAAAUAUUCACCCGAAACUUGACCCUAAUAAGAUACGGGUUAGUCGGGUUGAGGUUAAUCGGGUUUCGGGUAUGUAGGGUCGGGUUAAUCGGGUUAGUCGGGUUGAGGUUGAAAUAUAAGAUGAAUUUAUGUUGUGCUAUUUUAAUACAUAAUCCACAUGUAUAGGGACUUAAAUUGUAAAGUUGGUAUACUAAAUGAAUUUUUGGAGUUUCUUUUAUCAUAUUAGUAAUGUAAACAAUGAAUAAAAUUCGUAAAACUGUUACAACACAACCGUACUACAUUAAGAAGAGAGGAAAGUUAUGUCAUUUUAUACAUCUCUAUACAUAGUAAUUUUACUAUCUGGUUUGUUUAAAUAAGAAAUAUGUAUUAGUUGUAAAAUCUCAUGGGAUCUUGAAUUCAUGUCAUUCAACGCUGUAAAAAAAAAUGGUAAUAUAUUCUUAAUCGGGUUAUUCGGGUUGACUCGAAACCCGAAUUGUUUUGAAAAAAUCAACACUAAACCCGACCCUAAUAAUAAUUCGGGUUAGUCGGGUUAACCCGAAUAACCCGCUUAAGAGUUCUAACCUUAUUAAACCCGACCCUAAUUACCUUAUUCGGGUUCAGGUUGGGUCGGGUUGAUCGGGUUCGGGUUUUUUUGACACCCCUACCAGUAAUUACAGUAAUAUUACACUGUUAUGAACAGGUCCAACAAGUUUAUUAGUCAAAUGUGUAUAAAAAACAUGGUUACCUAAAUAUGGACAAAAACCAAAGUUUUUUACCGUUUUGGUAAUAUUGGACAGGAACUGUCUCAGUGACUGUGCCCUACGAAGUGGGAUCAAGCUCCUAUAGUCAGUGAACAAUUAGGUUAGGCUUAGUCUAACCCAGUACAGUCCUGACUAGUCAUGGGCUAGGAUAUCUUGCAAGGUCUUUAAAGCACAUACAACCUAGCCCCUUAAGCGUAUACAACUUAACCCUAACUAGUUGAGCAUAAAUUGGGUUGGCCUAAGACUUGACCAUCUCCUAAUACACAAAGAUCGGACAACCCAAUUUCAUGUAACAUCAAUGGAUAUUAUGAUUACUUGCACUUAACAUAAAGAACCCAAUAUUAUCAAAAUGGGUAAGGAACAUUGGUUUUUGUCCGUAUUUAGGUAACUAUGUUUUUUUCGUACAGAUUUGACCAGUAAACUUGUUUAACCUGUUCAUAAUAAGGUAAUAUUACUGCUAAUUACCAAUCAUAUUACCUUAUUUUGAACAAGUCAAACAAGUUUAAUGGUCAAAUGUGUAUGGAAAAAACAUAGUUACCUUAAUGUGAACAAAGACCAAAGUUCGUUACCUUUCUAGUUCAUUAACCCUUUUUAUAUUUAAAAAUUUAUUUUUAGUAACUAUGUAAAAAGAAAAAGAAUUUCAAUACACUUAAGUUUAUUUGAUAUUUUAAUUUAGCUUUUACACUUGAAAUAUUUAAAUUCUUUUUAAUUCUUUUUUGAAACCAAUAAUUCAUUUUUUAAGUAUAUUCGAUCCUUUUAUUUAAGUACUUUGUUUAAUAUGUAUAUUUAUAUCCAUAUGUUAAUUAUAUUAUGCUAAUAGUUCAAAAAACCAACCAAUUUUGGUUUAGAUUUUAUAUUUAACUUUAUAUUUAACAAAAGCAAUAAUUUAAAAAAUAUCUUUUAAUAAUUUUCUCUAAUUUAUUAAAGUUCCCAUUUGUAUUUUGAAUUUGAAAUUAUAUUUAAAUUAAGAAAUUAAUUAUAUUUGAUUAAUAACUUUAAAAUGUUAUCAUUAAAAGAUUAUAUCCAACUGAAAUUAUUAAAUUUAACAUAUUAGCUUUGAAAUUGGAAAAGUAAUAUUAUAGUUAGAAUAAUAAUUGAGUUUAAUGUAUUAUCUACUAUUUUUAUUUUUAAUUUCAAUCAUGAUCAUGGUUAAUUGAUAUCUAACCAUUGUUUGUAAGUUUAUACAAUAUAAGUUUUUCAUCGUUUGUAAGUUACCACAACUUAAUUUUUUGUAUUAGUUAUUUAAAAACCACUUAUUUUGAAAAAAUUAAAUUAUAAUAAAAAGUAAUUUUUUAUAUUUUUUAUUUAAUUUGUAUUUUCGUUUUACAUUUAAUAUGUAAACAUUCUUAAAUAUUUUGAAAAUAAUAUUUGAAAUACUUUCUAAGUUUUUAAAAUUUUGAUUUACUUAUUGGAUUUAAACUGACAUGUAAAUUAACAAACAAGUGCAUGCAUUAUAAUUGUCAUUUUAAAAUUCUACCAAUAAUAAAAUAAUAUUUUGCGUUGAAAAACAUAUUUUAAGUUAAUAGAUUAAUUAUAUUAUGUUUAAAAUUGAAAGGUCAUUGAUGCUUCUAAUGCAUGAUACAUUAGUAUAGUACGUAUGAUUUUUAACUAUUUUGCACGUCAUUGCUUUUGUUUAGUAGGUUGCCUUUUUUUCCCUUUGCAUUUUAUUUAGUUAUAAUUCUUUUUAUAUGUAAGCGAAAAUCUUGUCAGAGGCUUUGACAUGUAUAUGUUGUUGGAUCUGUUUGUGCUUGGAACACCUUUGCUCAUCUAAAAGGAAUUCUAGAUCUCGAGCAUGUGAGUUAUGAGCGUUUUGUAUUGAUUUCUAGGUUUGGGUUCUUGAGUUUGAAAGUCGAACACACAUAUGGGUUUAUGUUUGAAAUUUGUUCAGAUCUAACACACACACACACACUCGCGCACAAAUCUGAAAUCGUUUAUGAUGAACUCGUUUGAUCAUGUUCUUGAAGAUGUUUAAUUUGGGUUUAAGACUUUCUAGAGGAAAAACACAUAAAUCUAAGUUUUUUGGUAUUUUUGGCCGGAGACUUGCCGGAGCCUUCGGAAACUAGCUAAACCUCUGAUAGCAGGCNUUCGGAAACUAGCUAAACCUCUGAUAGCUAUCAGGCGAUAAAGAUGUUUUUUUUUAACAGUUCAACAAAUUCAAUGAAAAAAUAUAGACAAAAAAGAAAUCCAAUGACUAAACAUGUACAAAUCUAAAAAUAUAUUAUCCUUUUAAAUCAUUAUCUAUUUAUAAAAUUAUAACAAAAAAUAACUUACUAGCGUACAUGACAGCCCUAUCUUAGCUUCUAUGAAGAGUCAAAGACUAGAAGUCAUAUGGGCUUUCUGGUCAAUUACAUUGGGCUCCUUAAGAGAGUAUUGGUCUAGGGAUCGGUUAGUAUUUAACCCUAGUCGUUGACAUGAAAACCCUAUCCUAUCUUUUCCGUCGGAUCACACAUCUGACUGUCUGCUGAAAUCUCGCCAUCGCUUUUUUAUUUCUAUAUAUAUUCCAUCUCUGCCCCCAUAGUCUUCUCGAUUACCGAACAUUUUGCCUUCUUUUCUGAUUAUCUGGAUCUUCCAGAUGGUUGAAGAAUCUCAAAUUUCGGUUUUUCCAUUAUGAUUGCAAAUUGUUGGUCUGAUUCAGAGGGUCAACCACUUCAUGUAGACAAAUUGUUUUCCCACAAGAAUGUUAAGUCGCUUUUUUCUGUUUAUUUCUCCUCAUUGAUUUCUUGAUUUCUGUCCUCACUUUCAUAGAUGUUUUAUUUUUGGAUUUGGUGAAUAUCAUGGCAUUUUCAUGGACAUGAAGUAUGACUUUGAUGGUGAACUGAUAUUAAUCUUUAAUGGCAUAGACUCCCACAAAUCUUUCGUUUAACUGGUAACUCAUUAAUUUUCUCAUUCCUCCUUUCUCUUGUUGUUGGUUAUUGGACUAUUUAAGGAAAUUGUCAUUGGUAUAAUUUUGAGAUACUAUAUAUUCUUCAGAAUACAAUGACUAGAUCCCUGAAUCUAAUUAUAUAAUAGCUUCAUUUGUCCACACAAUCUAUAAACACCAACAAGGGGAAGAAGAAAGUUAAUCCGUUACCAGCGAAACUCAACGAUUUGUGUGUCUAUGUCAUUGAGAUACCAUACUAAAGGGUUAACUUUUGGUUCACCACCAAAGUCCCAAUUCCUGUUCAUUAAAAUGCCAUGAUAUACAUCAAAUCCAAAAAUAAAACAACUAUAAAAUAUAGGAUAGAAAACAAGAAACCAAACAUGAGAAAUAAACUGAAAAAUGUUGUUGAACUUUAUUUUCUUGUUGGAAAAUGAUUUGUCCACAAGAUGUGGUUGACUCUGGAAUACAUUUGAAUCCAGCAAAAAAGCAGCAUUUUCCUUGGUUCAGUUUAACUCCUUCCUGCGAUCAUUGUGCUAUAAAGCUUCCUUUUAAAUUUAAUCUUAUAGCUAAUAGUAUCUUCACUAUCUUAUCUUUGAACCUUUCUGUUUGGUUCAGUUUAAUUAACUCCUUCCGUGAUUAUUGAUUAUUGAGCUUUAAAGCUUCCCUUUAAAUUUAAAUGUAUAGCUAGUACUAUCUUUACUAUCUUAUCUUUAUAUUUUGUUGUCUUUGACUCUCUAGGAACAGAAAGAACAUUCUGCAACUACUAGUGGAACCAUACGUAAGUACAUCUGCAUUUUCAGUAUAACGAUUGUUUAUAUAAUGUCUGUUCAGUAGGAUAUAAAUUAUUGACAAUCUUUUUUCUGGUAUUUGUAAUUGCAUAUACUGAUUAACAAGUUAUUCUUAUAUGGAUAGGAAUUUUCAUCCAUAUGUGUCUGUUCUCAUGAAGUAUAUCGUGUUGCAAGUUAAGCAUGUUUGCCAACAGGAGGUAUGUUCUUUUUUCUAUGAUUCAGUUAACUAGAUAUAACUAUUGAUUUUGUUCAUCAAAGAAGUGUCGUUCUUUUCUCGUGAUCUCCACUGAGUUGAUUUUAGUUAGAGAUUUUUAAACAUAUAUAAUGUAGUAAAUGUAAACCCCUUUUGAAGUGAUGAGAGGAAAAAAUCCAUUGAAACAUGGAGCUUUCAGUGCAUGAUGCAGAAAUUGGUAUACUAAACACUAUUGCAUAGGCAGACGGAUAUUGUCCCCAUGUAAAUUUAAUAAAUAAAAAGCAUUAAACUGUUAAGAGAGUAUGUCUUGCUUUUCUUAAUUGUUCUUGCAUUAACAUUAAACCAUGCAACCUUUAACUACAUACCGCAACGUGAGUUUUGGUUGACUAAAAAAACAACAGUUUUGGUUAGACUUUGCCAAUAGAACAAGUACAUCUAAUGGCCAUGCGUAUGUAUUUGUUCUUUGUUUUGUGAUUUUGUUUUACAAAAAUAUUUCCUUUAAUGACUUAUAUUUUUAAUAAUCUGAACAGGUUGGUAUAUUCAUGAAUGGGAAUCUUCUUGCCCCAGAAAUGAANUGGAGCUUUCAGUGCAUGAUGCAGAAAUUGGUAUACUAAACACUAUUGCAUAGGCAGACGGAUAUUGUCCCCAUGUAAAUUUAAUAACUAAAAAGCAUUAAACUGUUAAGAGAGUAUGUCUUGCUUUUCUUAAUUGUUCUUGCAUUAACAUUAAACCAUGCAACCUUUAACUACAUACCGCAACGUGAGUUUUGCUUGACUAAAAAAACAACAGUUUUGGUUAGACUUUGCCAAUAGAACAAGUACAUCUAAUGGCCAUGCGUAUGUAUUUGUUCUUUGUUUUGUGAUUUUGUUUUACAAAAAUAUUUCCUUUAAUGACUUAUAUUUUUAAUAAUCUGAUCAGGUUGGUAUAUUCAUGAAUGGUAAUCUUCUUGCCCCAGAAAUGAAGCUCCUUGAUGUGGUGAAGCAAUGGAUGGCUAUUGUUGCUUCAGAGAGAAAAAUAACCAAAGGAUGUUCUUCCGAGAACUUCUGUGUGAUGCUCACUUUUGCUCGAAGAGAGUAGACAAGCAGUGGACAACUAUUUUUGGAAUCACCAGGAAAACAUGGCAAUUGAAAUUUGUUUCUAAUGCUUCAUAAGGGUUUUGAAAAAGGCUACAUAUUUAUCAUUAUAUGAUUGAUCUUGAUCUUUUUUCCAUGAGAUUAUUGAUUUUUCUGGCAAUUUCACAUUCAUACAUUAUUAGGAAAUCAGUUUUCAUCCUGGUUGCCGCCCGCGGUAAAAAAUAACCAUUAUUGAUGAAUGGUCACAAUAUGUUUGUACAAAUUUAGUGAUGAAUUCGCAAAAACUAUAUAACGUGCUGUAAUUACUUUUUUUGAAAUCAGCGACAAAUUUGAUACAAAAUAGCUAUGAAUUUACCCAUGUUGCUCAUCAAUUGAAAUAGUUUUCCAUACUCUAUCACUGACUGUCACUAUAUGUCUGUUGUUGAUCCAUCAUGAAGUUUCCGUUAAUAGUUCAUCGUAAAGUUUCCAUUACAAACUCUAUCCUGAUCUCAUAUCUAUAUAUAUAUAUNNNNNNNNNNNNNNNNNNNNNNNNNNNNNUCUUAUACACACAUACACACACACACACAUAUAUAUAUAUAUAUAUAUAUAUAUAAUUGGGAAGCAUAAUAGCAUGGGAUAGGCCUAGGCAUAUCUCAAGAUUUUUGGCUUGUUCAAGCUGCUAUUAUUGUGUUGCUAAGCGUACUCCAAUUGCAUAAAUGAUGAAUAUGCUAUAAAUAUUAUAUUUACAGAUAAAUACGGGGAAUAAAAGGGAAGAUAAUUUUAUUGUACAAAACAUAACAUAAAACUGUCUCAUCAUACAAAAGAAUAACAUAAUGGUUUUUAGGGAUAUAAAAUAUUUCUGACACGACAUGAAAAGGAUUUAUAUAACAUGAACACGACAAGACAGAAUGUCGAGUUUAUUCAUGAAAAAGAAUCAAUUAGAACACGACAAACACGGUAUGACAUGAAAGUUGUCUUGCUUGCUUGUUUUCUUUUUGUUUACACUUAGUGUAAACAACACAAUAGCAUAGGCUAGGUUUGACUUAACGGAUACCAACACAACAAUAGCCAAUAAAAUAUAAGCAACAAAAACCAUAAUAUAUAUGUAGUUCCACUUCUCAAGUUUGCUCCACUAAAUAAAAGUUCACUAAUAAUUUAGGAACUAAGUAAAAGGUUACUAAUAAUUUAGGAACUACAACAAGGAUACUAUAACAUAAACUUUUUUUCAACAUUAUAACCUAGUUCUCAUAAAGUAGUAGAACAUGAGACAUUUGUUGAGCUUAAACCAUGGAAGUGAAUAAAUGCUUUACGAUGCCAACUAUUUACGAAAUUUAUAAUGGUAAGUGCACCAUGUCUUUGCUUUCUUGGGUAGGCUAAAAAAUUUAUCUUAGAGGGGAAGCUUUUACUCUGAAUGCUAGGCCUUUUGGCUCUACAUAAAGUUUUUGUAGCUUAAUUAAAGUGAAGGUAUGGUGUUUAACAAAGAACAUGACAUAUAUCUAACUCUGGGUUUCUAAGUGCACAACUCUUGAGCACACGAUGACUUUUAUGUAAGAAUCAUGAGAAAUUGCUAACCCGCGAACCUAAGACAAGACUUGAUUCUACUCGGGGAGAUACUUUAAUAGCUUUAAAAGAUGCGUCAUGACCUUCGAUGCUUGAUGUUCUUUAAAAGUUGUGUUGUCCAAAGGUAACUCUUCUAGAAAUAUGUGACUCCAAAUGUUCAAUUACUUUAUCUACGAUCUCAAUAGUGUCUGCCAGAGCUUGGAGUAAGCUGCAGAAGACGAAUACGACAAGCUCAAUGGAAGGAAAAUAAAUUCAAAAGAAAACUGGCUGAAAGCCUUCGGUUGUUGUUGCACCAAUAAAAUAUUCUUUUUCGCAACUAAGAAAUUGUAAACAGGACUAAUCACUCCAUUAGUUUUGUGCUCCUAGCAGAUUUUAUCAAUAGUACUAGUCCAUCUAGGAUGUCCUGGUGAUUAUAUCAAAAAAAAUAAACUAUAUAAAGUAAUAAACCACUUGACUUUCAAUAUUUACGGGCUAUAGAGGGUUUCAUCAUCCAAAGAUCCGCAUGUCUGUCUUCGUGUCUUUUCAUAUAUAUAUAUAUAUAUAUAUAUAUAUGUGUGUGUGUGUGUGUGUGUGUGUAUGUAUGUAUAUGUAUCCAUAUAUACGUAUGUAUGUGUGUACGUAUGCAUGCAUGUAUGUAUGUAUGUAUGUAUGGAUGGAUGGACACACACAUUCAUAUACAGAUAUGUAUAUACAAACACACACAUGUAUAUAUAAAAUCUUAUUUUACAAAUUUAUAUAAAAUUAAACUAAGUUAGAGACCUGUAUAUUAUACGGGUUUGUAAAUUAAAAAAUCAAACUACAUUGAUAUAAUAAGAAAAUUUUAAAAUUUAAUACUAAAAUAUGGUGAAAUAUAGAAAAUAUUAAAGUUUAUAGAACUAUAAUGGUGAAUAGGUAUGAAGUAUGGCUUUCAAUGUAGAAUGUUAUUGUACUUUAAUACAUAAUUGAUAUCACAAAUACAUAUUUAUAAACUUAAGAAUAAAAGAAUAAAGAUGGAAUGUUGAAGAAAGAUUGGAGGAUAAGCAACUUCGAUGCUUGAAAUCAAAAUAGUGAGUAUCAAAAAUCAUGUGAGUCAAAAGAAUAAGAACAAUGGUAUUUAUAGAAUAAAUUGAAUAUAGAAAAAAAUUGAUAUCAAAUUAAUUUGGAUCCUAAUCAAUAAAUAGAAUAAUUAUAGGCUUUAUUAAAGGUAAUAUAUCAAUUAAGUCAUUUCAAGUUUCAAUGUACAGGUUCCACAAACAAUAACAAGAAGAAACCCUAAUAUCUCUCAUUUCAUUGUACGCAACUAAGAGAAUUAGAAGAAAAAUCAUUUAGAUUGGGAAAGAGAAUUCUAGGAAGGAGUAACGUAAUUGAUUUUCACAACUAUCAAUGUCAAAUUUGGUAAGUUCUAUUACAUGUCUAAUCUGAAGUUCGUAACAAUUAAAAAUGAAAGAUAUAUAUAGAUGUGCGUAUCUUCUAAUUUCUUAAUCGCUUCAACAUUGAUUACCAUAAUGAUUUUUAAUUUGAUUUUAAGUGUAAAUUGAAUCAAUAUCAUGAAAUAAAACUUGUGAUGAAAUAAAUUAUGCCCCAACAAAAAUAUGAAAAACGAAUUAAAAGGGGUUGUAGAAAAUACAAUUCCAUUAUAAUGGAAAAUUAUGAAUUCAAAUUUACAUGAUAUAGAAAGUUUUACAAACACUAUUAUUUUGUUAAUACUGUUGGAAUAUCAUUUCGAUUAUGAAUCCACCAUACAAACCCUCAUGUUAUGCACAAACUGCUUUUUACCAUACAAUUACAUACAAAUAACUAAUAUUUAACAUGAUAUUUUAAGACAUUUUUUUCAAUAUAUAAGAGCAUGUGGGCUUUUCAUUAAUACAUUUACUGUUGUAUAAUGAGUUGAAUAAGCUUAUGAAUAACUUUAUAGUGAGGUAGAUUCAUAACCAUUUUAAACAUAUCUUUUACGGUUCUUUAUUAUUAUUAUUAUUAUUAUUAUUAUUAUUUUUAAGAACAAAUAUAAGUAUUUUGUUUUAGUGUUAGUCUAUACUAUGUAUUUUAGGUCCAUCCAUGUUUGAUUAGGAAUCACUCGUGAUCUUUAAUUACCUUUUAAAAUAUAUAAAUUUAUAAAACUAGUAUAGGAUUUUUAUUAAUAUGACAUGUGAGUUCAUUUGUAACCAGGAACUACUGAAUUACUAACCAAAUAUAACAUUAUAUUUUACCACUUUUAGGGUACCAACUUUUAUAUACCUGAAAAUUAUAAGGCUUAAAUUUGAAAUUUCUCAUGAAAUAGUGCAGGAGAACUAACAAAUUUAGACCAAUAAUUUUUCAAGAUUAUAACAAACACGAUCAGUAACAAAAACAAUUUAAUCUAGUGCCUCGAAUAAAUAUAAUGAAUAAUCCCUAAAUAAUUAACUUAUUAAAUAAUAGAAUACUUACUCUAAUUUAUAUCAAUAGACAUUUUCAGCAUGUUAUAUAGACGAAGAGAAUAUCUUCAUGACUGAGUAUAACCUCUAGAUCAAACAAUUCUUUGAAAUGAUACAUAAAUUGUUACAAACCAAGUAUGUUAAACCACUCGUUAAUAGGUCACCUAGUAAGACAUAGUAUGCCAUUUUAAGUUACAUGUCAUAGAGACCCAAGUUCGAAUCUAAAGAGAUGCUAAGGGAUGUCGAGGUGUAUGGUGUGUGAUGCAGUGCUGUCGAUGGGCAAGUUCUUUCAAUUUGAGUCAUAAUUUAGGGAUCCACAAAAACAUAAAACUAUUCAUGUUGCUCAUAACUAAAAUAUCUUAUAUGGUUACAAUCAUUGUAGUAGAAAGGAUGUAUUGUACCUAUUCAUUUGAUGAUUACCUUGAUACAUUGAAGUUAGAAAGAUUUAUCUCAUUGGAACAUUCAUUUAUUUUUUUCAAGGCAUAUAACAUCUUUUCUUUUACUGUAGAGUCAUUUCACAACUCUAAUAAUACAUGAAUUCUAUUUUUCUAGGAAGUAUAAAUAUAUGUCAUAAAGCAUUAUGAAGAAUUGAAACCUAUUAAGGAACUUUUACAUAAACACACACUUGAAUUCAUCAAUUAGUGCCACGAUCAAGGUUAUAAUUCAAUCCCACUCACCGGUUUCCUCCAUCUUCCUUGAUUAGCUUUAUAAUGAAUAUGGUAAAUAAUUUUUGUUUGUAUGAGUCCAUGACAAUCCAAGGAUUCUAAUUUCCAAAUGGUGCCUGUUGUGUAUCAUUGCUUUUUUAGAAAGUAUAAUAUCCACCCCAUUUUUAUGGUUAUAAUUCUUAUUAUAUUUCAAAUAAAUUCUUGUCAUAUGUUUUGGAAAAUAUAUUGUGUUAGAUCCCUUGGUACUAAAAGUUCAUCGUUGCUCAAAGGUUGUAAACCAUACAUUAACUAAGUUUAGAUAGUCCUGCUAGAAUAAAUUGAAAUCUCUAAAUUAUGACUAAUGGAUGAUUUAACCAUUUGUGCUUUAUCAUCAUGUUCUUCGUUAUUCAAAGUUUGGUCCUAAAAAUAGCGUAUGUAUUUCAUAGAUGGAAUUUUUUUAUGAAAUCAUGAUAAAACAAUUUCAAGUAUCAUUAACAGGCAUAAAUUUAGUGUAGGUUUCAGAAUUUUGAUACUUAUUAUGGUUAUAGUAGCUGCUGUUCAUCUAGACAUAAUUGUUUAUAUAUACACAAAUUAAAUUAUUGUUGCCCCAUUUAUGGUCAAGUUUUAGGAAAUUGAAAGAGUGUGGUUUCUUUCAAUCAUGAAUCCCUUAAUAUGUCUAUUAGUGUAUAAGCAAAGUCCUUGCCUUUGCUACUAGUACACACAUGUAAUAGUGAAAUAUACAAGCAACCAUAAGCUGCAAUAAGCUUAUUUGACAAUCUAAAAUUUCCUACAUCAUAAAGUCAUCAUAUAGUAACAAUAAUACGAUCAUCAUAUUGUUAAAGAAACAUGUGAAGAAUAACAAUAUAUAACUAUAAAUAAUAUUGACUUAUACAUUUGACUUGUACCCACCAUACUUUUGGGUGAACUUACCAUGGGUCACUAGAUAAUCACCCGUUUUAGCUUGCAUUUUUGGAUCACUAUAUUGUGUUGGUAACCCGUCUACUUUAUAUCAGUACCCUCAGAUCAUGAUGUAAUGUCAAGUGGACCUCUUACCAUACGAGAUACCCAUGGAUAACUAGGUAGUCCCACAUGGAAACAAUUUUCAAGAUAAAAAUCAUAAUCACCAUAAAAAUAGCUAUGUUUACUCACCUUGACAUUUCAUGGUUGAAAAAUUCCUAACUCCUUGUAUUUAUUUACUUCCAAUAGCUGAGAAACUUGUGUUUUACCAUCCAUGGCUUUCUAUUGUCAACAUAUACCACUUUAAUUCAUUAAAUAGCAUCAAACAAGUAUGAGUUAUAUAAAUCCACAAAUCUGCUUAAUAUUUAUUAUAUUUUAGUUUAAUUUUAGUGUUCUUCACUUCAAUUGACACAAUAAAAACAAACCAUCAUACAAGCUCUAAUUUUACUAUCACCACAAGUAGAUACCAAACAUAUCUUCUGCCACCGUCAUGAAUCUACAUAUAAUUACGGAAUAAACAAAAUACUUUUUACCUCUUAUUUGAUAGCCAAACAUGUAGUAAUAAAAUCUACUUACUAAAUUUCAUCAUUAAGUACUCUUUCCUCAUGAUUGGCAAACCCUUUUCCUUUACCCUAAUUCGAAGGAUAGAGAAUGAAGAGUGUUUACCAUUUUGAUCAUGGAUAAAAGUUAUUGAUAAUUGUUGAUGAAAGACUAAUCAAUGUUUCUUUCCUGUGUUCUAUUCCUAAGCAAUGCCCACGACUCCAAGAUUGGUAUCGGUUUGGACAAUAUCAAUAGAAAAUAAAUGCCCAAAAGAUAACAGGCUGCUUCUCUCAAGAGUCAAGACUACAAGCGAUAUAUAUAAGAUUUCUGGUCAUUUACCCUAGGCGUGCCAAACAUAUCUUCUGCCGCCGUCAGAUCACUCACCUGACUGUCUGCUGAAACGCUGCUAUCCGAUUUUUAUUUCUAUGUUCCAUCUCUGCAGCUCUCCAUCGUCUUGUCGAUUAUAGAACGUUUUACCUUCUAUCGUUGAUGAUUGCUAUUUUUAUCGCCGGCUCUCCGUAUGUUUACACCCAAGCGCCAAAGAAGAGGAACAAAUAAAUAGCAAUUAUAAGUUGGAGAUUCUUCUGGAAGAUCAAAUUAAACUCACCGGAUAAUCA
rnacentral:lncRNA from 1 species